rnacentral:rRNA from 1 species
UACGGAGGGUGCAAGCGUUGCUCGGAAUUAUUGGGCGUAAAGGGCAAGUAGGUGGUCUCAUUUGUCUGGGGUGAAAGCCUUGAGCUUAACUCAAGAAGUGCCCCAGAAACGGUGAGACUGGAGUCCUGGAGAGGGUCGUGGAAUUCCCGGUGUAGCGGUGAAAUGCGUAGAGAUCGGGAGGAACACCAGAGGCGAAAGCGGCGACCUGGACAGGUACUGACACUCAACUGCGAGAGCGUGGGGAGCAAACAGG